rnacentral:lncRNA from 1 species
AAAUUUUUACAAUUUGGUCACAAAAGAUUUCAUUCUAAAACCGAAACCCUAAUAUUAAAACACUAAAAUAAGUUAUAAAUGCAAAAGAACUAUAAAUUAUUGGUUAAUGAUGUCAUGUGAAGAUGAAGAUGUAAAUAAAUGAAACAAAACUACUCAAAAUCACAUAGCUAAAGUAACGUUCUUGGGAAGAUCAUGAAGAACAAAUGAAGAACAUUCAAAGUGAACCCAACA